rnacentral:rRNA from 1 species
GACGAACGCUGGCGGCGUGCUUAACACAUGCAAGUCGAACGGAAAGGCCCUGCUUUUGUGGGGUGCUCGAGUGGCGAACGGGUGAGUAACACGUGAGUAACCUGCCCUUGACUUUGGGAUAACUUCAGGAAACUGGGGCUAAUACCGGAUAGGAGCUCCUGCUGCAUGGUGGGGGUUGGAAAGUUUCGGCGGUUGGGGAUGGACUCGCGGCUUAUCAGCUUGUUGGUGGGGUAGUGGCUUACCAAGGCUUUGACGGGUAGCCGGCCUGAGAGGGUGACCGGCCACAUUGGGACUGAGAUACGGCCCAGACUCCUACGGGAGGCAGCAGUGGGGAAUAUUGCACAAUGGGCGGAAGCCUGAUGCAGCAACGCCGCGUGCGGGAUGACGGCCUUCGGGUUGUAAACCGCUUUCGCCUGUGACGAAGCGUGAGUGACGGUAAUGGGUAAAGAAGCACCGGCUAACUACGUGCCAGCAGCCGCGGUGAUACGUAGGGUGCGAGCGUUGUCCGGAUUUAUUGGGCGUAAAGGGCUCGUAGGUGGUUGAUCGCGUCGGAAGUGUAAUCUCGGGGCUUAACCCUGAGCGUGCUUUCGAUACGGGUUGACUUGAGGAAGGUAGGGGAGAAUGGAAUUCCUGGUGGAGCGGUGGAAUGCGCAGAUAUCAGGAGGAACACCAGUGGCGAAGGCGGUUCUCUGGGCCUUUCCUGACGCUGAGGAGCGAAAGCGUGGGGAGCGAACAGGCUUAGAUACCCUGGUAGUCCACGCUGUAAACGGUGGGUACUAGGUGUGGGGUCCAUUCCACGGGUUCCGUGCCGUAGCUAACGCUUUAAGUACCCCGCCUGGGGAGUACGGCCGCAAGGCUAAAGCUCAAAGGAAUUGACGGGGCCCCGCACAAGCGGCGGAGCAUGCGGAUUAAUUCGAUGCAACGCGUAGAACCUUACCUGGGUUUGACAUGGAUCGGGAGUGCUCAGAGAUGGGUGUGCCUCUUUUGGGGUCGGUUCACAGGUGGUGCAUGGCUGUCGUCAGCUCGUGUCGUGAGAUGUUGGGUUAAGUCCCGCAACGAGCGCAACCCUUGUUCACUGUUGCCAGCACGUUAUGGUGGGGACUCAGUGGAGACCGCCGGGGUCAACUCGGAGGAAGGUGGGGAUGACGUCAAGUCAUCAUGCCCCUUAUGUCCAGGGCUUCACGCAUGCUACAAUGGCUGGUACAGAGAGUGGCGAGCCUGUGAGGGUGAGCGAAUCUCGGAAAGCCGGUCUCAGUUCGGAUUGGGGUCUGCAACUCGACCUCAUGAAGUCGGAGUCGCUAGUAAUCGCAGAUCAGCAACGCUGCGGUGAAUACGUUCCCGGG